UCGAGCGACUGAUUAGAAGCUUGCUUCUAUGACGUUAGCGGCGGACGGGUGAGUAACACGUGGGCAACCUGCCUGUAAGACUGGGAUAACUUCGGGAAACCGAAGCUAAUACCGGAUAGGAUCUUCUCCUUCAUGGGAGAUGAUUGAAAGAUGGUUUCGGCUAUCACUUACAGAUGGGCCCGCGGUGCAUUAGCUAGUUGGUGAGGUAACGGCUCACCAAGGCAACGAUGCAUAGCCGACCUGAGAGGGUGAUCGGCCACACUGGGACUGAGACACGGCCCAGACUCCUACGGGAGGCAGCAGUAGGGAAUCUUCCGCAAUGGACGAAAGUCUGACGGAGCAACGCCGCGUGAGUGAUGAAGGCUUUCGGGUCGUAAAACUCUGUUGUUAGGGAAGAACAAGUACGAGAGUAACUGCUCGUACCUUGACGGUACCUAACCAGAAAGCCACGGCUAACUACGUGCCAGCAGCCGCGGUAAUACGUAGGUGGCAAGCGUUAUCCGGAAUUAUUGGGCGUAAAGCGCGCGCAGGCGGUUUCUUAAGUCUGAUGUGAAAGCCCACGGCUCAACCGUGGAGGGUCAUUGGAAACUGGGGAACUUGAGUGCAGAAGAGAAAAGCGGAAUUCCACGUGUAGCGGUGAAAUGCGUAGAGAUGUGGAGGAACACCAGUGGCGAAGGCGGCUUUUUGGUCUGUAACUGACGCUGAGGCGCGAAAGCGUGG
rnacentral:rRNA from 1 species